rnacentral:rRNA from 1 species
GCCUAGCCGUAAACAAUUAAUUUACAUCAAUAAGCGCCAGGGAAUUACGAGCAAUGCUUAAAACCCAAAGGAUUUGACGGUGUCCCACCCCACUAGAGGAGCCUGUUCUAUAAUCGAUGAUCCCCGAUAUACCCGACCAUUUCUCGCUUAUCAGUCUGUAUACCUCCGUCGAAAGCUUACCAUGUGAACGCCUGCAGUAGGCUUAAUGACCUAACACGUCAGUACGUCAGGUCAAGGUGCAGCUUAAGAAAUGGGAAGUAAUGGGCUACAAUUUCUAACUUAGAACAAACGAAAGACUGUAUGAAAUUACAAUCAUGAAGGUGGAUUUAGUAGUAAAAAGAAAGUAGAGUGUUCUUUUUAACCCGGCUCUGGGACGC